GUGCUCGCUUUGGCAGCACAUAUACUAAACUUGGAGAGAUACAGAGAAGAUUAGCAUGGCCCCUGUGCAAGAGUGACACGCAGAUUUAUGAAAUGUUCCAUAAUUUU